CGAUGUCUACUUGGAGGUUGUGCCCUUGAGGCGUGGCUUCCGGAGCUAACGCGUUAAGUAGACCGCCUGGGGAGUACGGCCGCAAGGUUAAAACUCAAAUGAAUUGACGGGGGCCCGCACAAGCGGUCGUUUGCCUGCUGGGAAUGAACGACGGCGUAUACCCGCGCCAGCUUGCGCCGUUGGGCUUUGACCUGAUGAGCCAAAAACCCAUGCGCGGGGAUCGUAGCCGUCGCGACGAUGACCGCUACCUGU
rnacentral:rRNA from 1 species